CACGUAGGGGGCAAGCGUUGUCCGGAUUUAUUGGGCGUAAAGAGCUCGUAGGCGGUUCGGUAAGUCGGGUGUGAAACCUCCAGGCUCAACCUGGAGACGUCACCCGAUACUGCUGUGACUAGAGUCCGGUAGGGGAGCGUGGAAUUCAUGGUGUAGCAGUGAAAUGCGUAGAUAUCAUGAGGAAUACCAGAGGCGAAGGCGGCUACCUGGACAAUUGCUGACGCUCAGGCACGAAAGCGUGGGGAGCGAACCGG
rnacentral:rRNA from 1 species